rnacentral:misc_RNA from 1 species
CAGAGUUGCAAAACUCCCACAAACCAUCGCGAAUCGUUACCACAUACGGUUGCCUCGGCGCUGCGGUCCGAGGCCCUCGGGUCCCCGAUCCGGGGCGCCCGCUCGCGGGAGCUGCCGCCGUAGUGCCGAAACUACUCUUGAUAAUCUUAUGUCUACAUCUGAGUACUACUUUAAUAAGUCA